CAAUAUCGUACGUGUAUGGCUAAAAAAUAUCUUUGAUAUAGGCAUUGCCUCAUCAGCACUAUGAUAGCUUUCGCCGGCUGCCACGUGCUAUCAGUUGGGUCUCCACAGAGAUCCUCCCAAGUCGAAAUAGCCUCGAAGCGAUAAAGCGGUCGAAGAGUCGGGAAGGAUCAAGGUCGUGAAGUCAUCGUAGUUCAAGGUCG
rnacentral:lncRNA from 1 species